CAUCAUUUUUUGUCAGCAUAUAUAGUUUUUAAUUUAGGGAAGAACACAAGGAGAACCAACAGCCAGUCGAACCAUGUUGUUCGUGGCUGAGGAUUAACAAUACAUUUUGUUUGUUUUUAUGCUAAACACAUUGAAAAAAAAUGUUUUAACAUUAUUUUAAUUUUGAUUUAGAUAUUGUCCAAUUUGAGUAUCUGAAUUAAAAGAAACUGGUCAUUAUUUUGUACCAAGACAUUGGUGUGCUCUAAUCGGCACACAUAUUUUGUGUAGAUUUGUGAUGGAUCAUUUGCAGAUGACAAUUAAAUAUGAAAUUUUACUGGAAAGCAGGUUUCAGUGAUAUUAUUUUAAGAAUAAACUCUAUUUAUGUGUAGCUAACCUAUCCCUAUUGUAGUCCUGGAAGGACCCAGAGUAAUCCGGAUAAUUUAAUUCAGUAUAAUGAAUACUUAGGUCACCAGUAUGACUGACUUUCAGAUCACCUGUAACUCAAAUACAAACGAAACUCAGUGGAUCGACGAGGAAUUCUUCAGUGGUACGGCUUCAGCGUGGACCAGCUGAUUGAGCUGACUGCAGUUAGCUGUGCCACAGCCAUCACACGGUUGACAUCUCAAGCAAGACUCUUAUUUUGAAAUAAAAAUGACUGUUUAAUGUAAAGCGGCACGAUAAGUCCAUUAAUCGAAUAGUCGAUCAACAGAAAAUGAAUCAGCAACUUUUUUGAUAAUCCAAUCAGACAUUUUCUUUAAGCAAAAAUACCACACAUCUGCAAGGCCCAGCCUCUGAAAGGUGAUAAAUUGAUGUUUGUCUUUCUCAUACGUGUUAUUGAAUAGCCUAUUGAUAUAUGUUCCACCGUUUCUCUCACACUGUCCUGUGAUGUGCUUUCCUAUUCAAUGAAUCAAAAGAUUUAUUUAUCUGCUUCUUGUAAUAAAUGGAUUUGAUUAAUUUA